AAGUCGUAACAAGGUCUCCGUAGGUGAACCUGCGGAGGGAUCAUUAAACGAAACAAACCCUCCCCUCGGGCUCCGGCCCGGCGGGAGGGCCAGUCUCAAACCCUUUGUCGUCCGACUAUGUUGCCUCGGGGGAGACCCUGCCUCCGGGCGGGUGGCACCCCGGUGGACCAAACCAAACUCUUGCGUAACAUGUCGUCUGAGUCGAUUUUAAAAUAAAUCAAAACUUUCAACAACGGAUCUCUUGGUUCUG
rnacentral:misc_RNA from 1 species